AAAUGAUUUUGAUUAGAUUAGAAAAAGCUAAAUUACACUGAUACGUAAUUCGGAUGAUAAGGAUUGCGGAUGAAAUGGUUUUGUAGUAAGUGUAUAAGUGAAAGUGUAUAAGCGUAAGUAAAUUUGAUACCUAGUUUAAUAAAGGCUAUAUACUUUAUUAAUAUGUUUCCUAUCUAUUAUUUAUUAUAUAUAUUAUUUUCCUAAAUAUUUCAUUUUAUAUUUCCUUAUUAAUUCUCCGAUAAAAUACAGAUCAUGUUCUUUCACUAUUCUUUUCGAAAUAUCCUAUAUUACUUUUUCUACCAAUUAUCAGCUAUAGAAAAUAAUUUAGAAAAUAAAUUUGACAAAACUAAUGAACAGCAAAUUUAAAUAUUUGUUCAGAUUGAACGUCGGUAAUUAAUAUUCUUCUAUUAAGUUUCCUUUUGAUAAUAUUUUUAUUAAAGGUUCCUAUUUGAAUAUCUGAACUGAGUGUCAUACUAGUUCAUAAAACCAGGAAACUGACACAUGAAAAUUUUUAUAGGAUAAAUCCUGUCUCAAAAUCCAGUCUCAUUUAUUACACGUAAGAAUCGAGCCAUAUAUCAACAUGACUAUUAUAUGGCAAUAGAUUUACAGCCACCUGGAACAUAUUUAUCCUUGCACGUUUCCUGUUCUGAACCAGGGAACGGCUAAACCAGGCUAGCAAAAGGAAUGCACUUUCAGCCGGAGUUUCUAUCGACUCUGAAUCGUUGUUUGGCCAAAUAACGAACAUCAGAACGUAUAUUCCCAGCGUUGUUAUGUGGAGAUACCUCGCCGUUGGUGGGUGGAGUGACAGGCUCAGAUCAAUACUUAACAGGAACGAAUAGGGGACCAUUCAACGAGACACCGGUGUCUUGUAAUUUACAGAUAUGAUGCUGCUUCGACACUUGGUUAGAGACUCUUGACGGUUUCAAAGAUUUCAGCGGUAUAACGAUGAAAUUUGAUAGCUUGUGUCAGUGGAACUUUUUGGACGUUUGAGGAAUCGUUCGAGAUUGAACAUAUAUGUGGCAAAAACACAAGGAGGCUAUUGUUGGACGACAAAAGGAAGAUUCAGUAUAAUGUUCAUCGACGUUCAGAGGAAUUUCACAAUGACAGCAAUGACGUAUCGAUGAUUCGUCGGACAAAAACAAGGAAUUAUAACGUGGUCGAUCAAAGGCGCAAUCAACAGGUAUAACGAACAAUUCACUGGCUGCUCGACAUCGUUCUGAAAUCUCCUUUCUCUAUAAAACGAUUGUGAGACUGUUUUAAAUAUGUUGCAAAAUCCUAUCGAGUAUCGGUUCGAAAAACGUAACACGAAAAGGCCAAUAAUUGCUACUGUAAGCAUCGAUGAACAGCGUUAAAAAACUCAACAAAUAUUCUAUUUACUUGCAUCCAUUAACAGUCAAUGUUAACGUAGAAUUUAAUUUUUCAUUUAUUUUUGUAUGCAAAAUAAUUAUCUCACACGUAAUGGAAAAAAAUCAGUGAGUUCCUAUUGUAUAGACUCUUUUGGAUUCAGAUAAAUAAAAUUCUACUAUUAUAUA